GACGAACGCUGGCGGCGUGCCUAAUACAUGCAAGUAGAACGCUGAAGAGAGGAGCUUGCUCUUCUUGGAUGAGUUGCGAACGGGUGAGUAACGCGUAGGUAACCUGCCUUGUAGCGGGGGAUAACUAUUGGAAACGAUAGCUAAUACCGCAUAACAAUGGAUGACACAUGUCAUUUAUUUGAAAGGGGCAAUUGUUCCACUACAAGAUGGACCUGCGUUGUAUUAGCUAGUAGGUGAGGUAAUGGCUCACCUAGGCGACGAUACAUAGCCGACCUGGGAGGGGGAUCGGCCACACUGGGACUGAGACACGGCCCAGACUCCUACGGGAGGCAGCAGUAGGGAAUCUUCGGCAAUGGGGGCAACCCUGACCGAGCAACGCCGCGUGAGUGAAGAAGGUUUUCGGAUCGUAAAGCUCUGUUGUAAGUCAAGAACGGGUGUGAGAGUGGAAAGUUCACACUGUGACGGUAGCUUACCAGAAAGGGACGGCUAACUACGUG
rnacentral:rRNA from 1 species